rnacentral:tRNA from 2 species
UCCUCUGUCGUUCAAUGGCAGGACGGCUGACUGUUGAUCAGCUUAUGGUGGUUCGAGUCCAUCCAGGGGAGC